CCCCCCCCCCCCCCAUCAAUUUUGAGCAUUCAGCUGGAGACUUUAAUAAAGUGUCACAAUCUAAUUAAAGUCUGGUGACGCUAAAAGUCUUUAAUCUGGACUUUUAAUUUUUAUAAACGUGCUCUAGACUAAACUGGACUAGGGCUGUUUAGGCUCUACAACUGUUGUAUAAACAUGGACAUCAAUUUAGUGCCUGGAAUAAAUAAUCAUGUUCCUUUUCAAUAAAUACCUAGUUUAUGGGUCAAAAAUAAAGUUAGAUUUUAUGAUUUAAAUCUAAAUUAAAGUCAAAUGUGCUUUUUUUCUCUCUCUAGAAAAUGAUGUUAAGAGAUUUAAAAAUAAAGUCAAGUUAAUGCACCUUUGUAUGUUAAGUGUAAUAUACAAUCCCAAUGUCAUCAUUUUAUUUGUCUUUAAGUUUUGUAUUUGACUUUUUUUCUCUAAUGGAGAAAUGGAGUAAACUAUACGAGUAUUUGACUGUUUUUAUUGGUUCUCUACAGUGUACUGUGUAUUGGAUAGUGGAGUACGACAAGAGAUGUCCACAUGAUGUAAAGCACUUGACAAAUAUUAAAGCUCAUGUAAUUUCACUGUGAGCAUACCAAGAGAGAUAAUUCUAUUAAUCUGAUGUCCAUGUUGUUAAAACUAUUUUGUUUUUAUGUUGGUCCUUAGAUUUGCUUUUUCUUCAGACAAUUAAAUGUUUUAUUUAUUUGUAUGACACAUUGUGAACUUGGUUUAUUUCAGUUCAUCAGUAUGUGAGCUUCAUAUGAUCCAGUACUAUAUGUUCAGUUGCUAGUUACUAUUCGCCUAAGCAGUACAUGCUGAGUUAAUGAAAGUGUGAAACCUAGCUAAUCGUUGCUGGGGUUUUUUGUUUGUUUUUAAUGACACCACUAGAGCACAUUGAUUUAUUAAUCAUUGGCUAUUGGAUGUCAAACAUAUUUAAUUUUGACACAGUAAAAUGGCAAAAUAUAGGUAUUACUUUUUCCACAGUAGGGUGAUGCCAACUUUUUGCAUUUAACUCGAUGUUAAAGUUCAGCAUUUGGCUCCAUUUCUCACAAAUUGUAUGUCUUACAUUAAUGAAACUUGGUUUAUAUUUGCACCUAUUGAUGUUCAUCAUAAUGCAUAUCAAAGUAAAAAAUUUAAAAUUUUAAAAUUUUAUAAAGAGUUUAUUUAUUUUUUAAAAAAUGCAUUAAAAUGCACAUCUAGGAUACAGCUGUCGGAGACAUCAGAUAGGUUUAUGGUAGGUGAGACAUGGAUACAGCUGUCGGUGACACCAGAUAGGUUUAUGGUAGGUGAGACAUGAUAGGUUUAUGGUAGGUGAGACAUGGAUACAGCUGUCGGUGACAUCAGAUAGGUUUAUGGUAGGUGAGACAUGGAUACAGCUGUCAGUGACAUCAGAUAGGUUUAUGGUAGGUGAGACAUGAUACAGCUGUCAGUGACAUCAGAUAGGUUUAUGGUAGGUGAGACAUGGAUACAGCUGUCAGUGACAUCAGAUAGGUUUAUGGUAGGUGAGACAUGAUAGGUUUAUGGUAGGUGAGACAUGGAUAUAGCUGUCGGUGACAUCAGAUAGGUUUAUGGUAGGUGAGACAUGAUACAGCUGUCAGUGACAUCAGAUAGGUUUAUGGUAGGUGAGACAUGGAUACAGCUGUCAGUGACAUCAGAUAGGUUUAUGGUAGGUGAGACAUGAUAGGUUUAUGGUAGGUGAGACAUGGAUAUAGCUGUCGGUGACAUCAGAUAGGUUUAUGGUAGGUGAGACAUGAUACAGCUGUCGGUGACACCAGAUAGGUUUAUGGUAGGUGAGACAUGAUACAGCUGUCAGUGACAUCAGAUAGGUUUAUAGUAGGUGAGACAUGGAUACAGCUGUCAGUGACAUCAGAUAGGUAUAUGGUAGGUGAGACAUGAUACAGCUAUCGGUGACACCAGAUAGGUUUAUGGUAGGUGAGACAUGAUACAGCUGUCCGUGACACCAGAUAGGUUUAUGGUAGGUGAGACAUGGAUACAGCUGUCAGUGACAUCAGAUAGGUUUAUGGUAGGUGAGACAUGGAUACAGCUGUCAGUGACAUCAGAUAGGUUUAUGGUAGGUGAGACAUGAUACAGCUGUCAGUGACAUCAGAUAGGUAUAUGGUAGGUGAGACAUGAUACAGCUAUCGGUGACACCAGAUAGGUUUAUGGUAGGUGAGACAUGAUACAGCUGUCGGUGACACCAGAUAGGUUUAUGGUAGGUGAGACAUGGAUACAGCUGUCAGUGACAUCAGAUAGGUUUAUGGUAGGUGAGACAUAGCUGUCGGUGACACCAGAUAGGUUUAUGGUAGGUGAGACAUGAUACAGCUGUCGGUGACACCAGAUAGGUUUAUGGUAGGUGAGACAUGGAUACAGCUGUCGGUGACACCAGAUAGGUUUAUGGUAGGUGAGACAUUUAAUUAUGUGGAUUUCCUUUAUUAAUGUGCUAAUAUUCAUUCUCAUCUGCCUUGUAACAGGUUUCCAGUCAAGAUGACCAAAUGUCUAACAUCUAAUAGCUGAUGAUCAGUCUAUAGAUAUGCUCUAGUGGUGUCGUUAAACAAAACAAACUUUUUCAUUCUCAUUUCCAAAUUCGGUGUAGGGAAGGCUUUAUUUGGGAUGGGGUGAGGUGGAGGAGGGUGCCUGUACUACAGCAGUGGACUUGUUCUGUCACCAUGUUAUGUUGCACUAAUAUAUUGUAAGAAAGAAAUAAAGGAGCACAUUGUAUUGUUGAUUAAUUCUAACUGGCUACUAGCACAGUAAUGUUUAUAAUGAUGUAAUAUAGGGUUUAAUGUCAGUAAUGUGAUAUUAAAUGCCAGUAACACUGUUAACCUCCUGACACUAUAGAAUAGGGUUUGGGUUGCAGUUUCAAUUUGCUGUUACUAUUUAUGUGCUCCUUUAAUUUCUUUCUAUCAGUGUAUGUUACACACUUAAUAGCUGUAGAUUAAAAUGUGUUGGGGUCUCUUAAACCAUUAGAAAUUUCUUUCUUAAUACAUUAACAUAGUGAGUACAUGUAUUUUAUCAUUCCUUUCUUAUAAUACACUUAACAGUCUGUCUCGCAAUGUUCUAACAUGAUAAUAUGUAUUUUCUCUUGUCUCUAGACCCAUGUUCUAUGCAAGUUGAUACUUUUUUAUGUUAAUUUUAUGUACAACUUGGUCGUGUUUUUUUUAAUCAAGGAAUGUAUUAAAUGUGCAUGUGGUUGGAUAACAAGAACAUAUGUACUUCCGGAAACCUUUGAGGAGUUGUGUGCCGAUUCUGAAAACAGAUGUAAUGUAAAUCUAACUUAUAUCGUCUGGGAUUAUGUUUUUGUGCAUGUGACAUUGUUUGAUUUUUAUGAAGAAAAUAAACUAUCUGGAAAUAAAGAUAACAAAUUAA
rnacentral:lncRNA from 1 species